rnacentral:rRNA from 1 species
CCUACGGGUGGCAGCAGUCGAGAAUCAUUCACAAUGGGGGAAACCCUGAUGGUGCGACGCCGCGUGGGGGAAUGAAGGUCUUCGGAUUGUAAACCCCUGUCAUGUGGGAGCAAAUUAAAAAGAUAGUACCACAAGAGGAAGAGACGGCUAACUCUGUGCCAGCAGCCGCGGUAAUACAGAGGUCUCAAGCGUUGUUCGGAACCACUGGGCGUAAGGCGUGCGUAGGCUGUUUCGUAAGUCGUGUGUGAAAGGCGCGGGCUCAACCCGCGGACGGCACAAGAUACUGCGAGACUAGAGUAAUGGAGGGGGAACCGGAAUUCUCGGUGUAGCAGUGAAAUGCGUAGAUAUCGAGAGGAACACUCGUGGCGAAGGCGGGUUCCUGGACAUUAACUGACGCGGAGGCACGAAGGCCAGGGGAGCGAAAGGGAUUAGAUACCCUAGUAGUC